rnacentral:rRNA from 1 species
CCUACGGGAGGCUGCAGUGAGGAAUAUUGGUCAAUGGACGAGAGUCUGAACCAGCCAAGUAGCGUGAAGGAUGACUGCCCUAUGGGUUGUAAACUUCUUUUAUAUGGGAAUAAACUGUUCCACGUGUGGGAUUUUGUAUGUACCCUAUGAAUAAGGAUCGGCUAACUCCGUGCCAGCAGCCGCGGUAAUACGGAGGAUCCGAGCGUUCUCCGGAUUUAUUGGGUUUAAAGGGAGCGUAGGUGGGUUGUUAAGUCAGUUGUGAAAGUUUGCGGCUCAACCGUAAAAUUGCAGUUGAAACUGGCAGUCUUGAGUACAGUAGAGGUGGGCGGAAUUCGUGGUGUAGCGGUGAAAUGCUUAGAUAUCACGAAGAACUCCGAUUGCGAAGGCAGUUCACUGGACUGCAACUGACACUGAGGCUCGAAAGUGUGGGUAUCAAACAGGAUUAGAUACCCCAGUAGUC